UAGUGAACCUGCGGAAGGAUCAUUG
rnacentral:rRNA from 3 species